UACGUAGGGGCCUAGCGUUGUCCGGAAUUAUUGGGCGUAAAGCGUGCGCAGGCGGUUUGUUAAGUCUGUUGUGAAAUCCCCAGGCUUAACCUGGGAACUGGCGUGUGAUACUGGAUGGCUUGAAUUCGGGAGAGGGAUGCAGAAUUCCCGGUGUAGUGGUGAAAUGCGUAGAGAUCGGGAGGAACACCGGUGGCGAAGGCGGGUCUCUGGGCCGAUACUGACGCUGAGGAGCGAAAGCGUGGGGAGCGAACAGG
rnacentral:rRNA from 1 species